CCCUUAGAUGUCCUGGGCUGCACGCGCGCUACACUGGAAGUUACGGAUUGAGAUACUACCUUGUCCGAAAUGGUCCGGGUAAUCACCUAAAAGCUUGUCAUAAUUGGAAUGGAUUAUUGUAACUAGUAAUCCUGAACGAGGAAUUCCUAGUAAGUCCCAGUCAACAGCUGGUACUGAUUACGUCCCUGCCCUUUGUACACACCGCCCGUCGCUAUUACUGAUUGGACGUUUAAGCAAGAUUUUUAAACACUGACAGUGUGUAGUUCACGCUAUACUACAGUGAGAAGAAGAAGAUCGAGCUUACUUGUCUAGAGGAAGUAAAAGUCGUAACA
rnacentral:rRNA from 1 species